GAGUCAUCUCAUCUUCCAUCAUCGGCACGGCACUCGGCAGCUCCAGAGCAUCUUUCAUUUCAAUCAAUCAUCUCUAGUCCUAGUCUCAAUCUCGUAAUUUUUAUUUCACUUCACACCAUGUUGCAAUGAUUGUAUUUUCCCUUUGCUUUGAGAUUCUGAUGUAUAAUAAUACAAUUAUUUACGGAUGAAUACAGUUUUUUAAUGGUGGCCAACUUGAGAUACCAGCUUUAAGGCACGUAUAAAACCAUGGGGCACGAGGUCAAAAUAAAAUCAGUAGACUCUACACAAGACUGACCAAGUUUCUAACAUCCUUUGAAGCUACAGGAAAGGGAAGGAUGCCGCUACAGUCGAAGAGAAUCGGGCCUAUGGAGAUGUCAGCGAAGAUAUAAACACUUUUCAACAAUCACUAGGCCUAUACAUUGAGCCUACAGUUAUUAAUUUUUAAAUCUUGAAAGUGAUUUACUUUGGCCUAUACAUUGAGCCUACAGUUAUUAAUUUUUAAAUCUUGAAAGUGAUUUACUUUUGUUUACAGAUUUGAUAUAUUAUAAGAAUAUUUUGUUCGCUUGGUUUUUUGGUCUCUUUUACUUUUGUGAUUUGACCUUCUAUAAAAAAUGUAUAUUUUGGGCUUUGUGAAAGAAUAAACAAAAUAUUUUUAAA